UCUCACUUAUAAAAAGGUGUGACGGUGUUAAUAGGGCACUGUUUUGGUUGACAAGCGUUCAAACGUUCCUCUGCGUUCUUUUGCGUGUUGUGCUAUCACUCCGAAACCGAAAUCUACCUUUUUCUAUACUUUAAAAUUUUCUGUCUCUUCAACGUGAUUACUUACGUGUUCAGGACAAUUAAAUAAGUAGCAAUAAAGGAUUUCCGCGUUAAUUUCGUGGUUUUCUCGCGGAUUCAUCCUAGCUGCCCCAAGAUCCAUCAACUUCUUACCCGACGGGCAUCUUACGACGAGAUUACCUCCUACUCCUACCCAUCCAUCAUUACUCUUCUGCUUGCAUCAAAGCUUGCGCGCCUUCAGUAGAAGCCAUUUCGUAGACUUGGAGAUUAAAGCCUAGGAAAUUUUCCGGAGGGGCUAAAAAACCAACACCUACGAUCAACACAAGGAGGUGCUGUUUCAUCAAGUUUAUUCGUAUUCUCCGAGGAUUUUCCGGAGAUGUUCCACCCUAUUGUAGUCUCAAUCUCAAGACUAUAACUCCAGGCUGACUAGCUUCGCCAAAACUCAAUCAUUUCAAGGCCGUCCAAGGAUAUCUUCCCCUGGACUCUAGUAGAAUACCUGGGUAUGCUCGUAUUGUAGACGGACUAAACCUAUCUAUUUACUGCGAUACUUUGGGUAGUGUCCCGUACGAAGAUUCAAAAGCAUAUUACUUCACUUUUCAGCACUAGUUCAUCGCAUUAUUCAAUUAUCUCUUGUUGUGACGAAAUUUUUUAGAUCAACAUGUUUUAUUUGCUUAUGAUCUACGUUCUGAACCAUCUUUGGGAUGGUGCUAUAGAUAAAUUCUUGUUUUGGUGACGAGUAUCUGAAAGAAUAUCCUAAGACUUGUACUUAAGUACAGGCUUAUCAAUUUAUUGGAUUCUCCUUCUUCGCAACGAAUUAUUUGGAUUUAAAAUGUUUUAUGUGCUCAUGCUCUACAUUCUGACCCAUCUUUGGGAUGGUACUAUAGAUAAAUUCUUGUCUUGGUGAGUGUCUGAAAGAAUAUCCUAAGACUGGUACUUACGUACAAGCUUACCUAUCAAUUUAUUGGAUUCUCUUUCGUCGCAACGAAUUAUUUGGAUUUAAAAUGUUUUAUGUGCUUAUGCUCUACAUUCUGACCCAUCUUUGGGAUGGUACUAUAGAUAAAUUCUUGUCUUGGUGAGUAUCUAAAAGAAUAUCCUAAGACUUGUACUUAAGUACAUGCUUAUCAAUUUAUUGGAUUCUCCUUCUUCGCAACGAAUUAUUUGGAUUUAAAAUGUUCUAUUAGUCCUGUUUUGGCUACAUUGCGAUUUUAUUAUUAAAAUGUAAAUAAUUUUUUCAAAAGUGAUAAUUGAAAAUAUAUGUACAUAGAUUCCUUGUAAUUACGGGGAAUUUAGUUUCAAGAUGUUUUGGAUUUUAUCCCAUCGAUGGAGAGCAUGAAACUUAAAACUAUUUUCCCUCUCACAAGAUUUUUUUGUCUUUGCACGUUCCCUUCAUAUAUAAUUUUGAUGAUGGCUUAAAAACCGUCGGUUUAAGAAUGAUGGAAUGUUCGGGGUUUUCGGCACCUGGAGAUGCCAAAAACCUCGGUGAUAGAAUUCGAAAAAAAUCCAUGUUAAACCUCGCAAAAUUUCAAAAUGUAGUCCACGGUUCAAUAUGACACGUUGCCUGUCCACAGAAAACUUAAAUCUCCUUUUGUCUUUCUCCUUUUUCUCUGAGAAAGCUGUACCUAUUUUGAAAAUUGCCUAGUCUAAAAUCAAAGAAAUCAGCCUGACGGAAAACGACCAACAAUAAUGAAGCUCCGGUCAGUUCAAAAUUUAAUAUUAUGCUCUAUUUUAUUUCACUUGUCUUUGUGUUUUGUGACCUUCAAAUUCUUUAAUUUAGAAUAAACUGUGUACCUACUUUUUUA